UGAAAAUCCUAGAAGGAGUGCCAAGGGUUGGUGCCCUAACUACCUGCCUCUCUUGAUGAGGGGUGCCCACUCAGUCUGUCUAUUUUUACUUGGGACACCCCAUCAGCUUGCCAAAAAAGAUUAAGAUCCUACCAAUUAAGUCUGAUUUCAAUGAGAAAUAAUCAGAUUAAAAAGAUAAAAAUUCUUAUGAAAUAAGAACUAACCUUUUUAGG
rnacentral:lncRNA from 1 species